CGGGGCUCCGGGUGUGGCGGGGCAGUGCGCGGAUCAGGGGCUGCGGGGCAAGAGUGAGGCGCAUCGGCCUGCCUGGGCGGGCAGGGGCUCCGAUGUACAAGACACUUAAUCUUCGUAUUGUUCUGCUUGGAACUGAGACGUGGACAGAAAUGGACAUUUACUCAUUGGCUGGACCAUGCUUUUCACUUUUUUACUCCAUGGACUAGAUAGUUCCUUAAACCCUGCAUACACUUUGACCGUGCACAAUUACUCCUGUAAGAGGCAGACACUAUCGAGGCAUACUAGGACUGGUGACACAAGGAACUGUAUGCAACACAGACGCCUCACCAUGUAUUAUUAGGAUGUCUCUCCAAAAUUGGAGGUUGAUGGGGAAGAGGAUACCUGCACUUUUUCAGUAACUGGGUGUAAUGUGUUUCUGCGGAUGCGUUGCGUUGCACACCAGAUGAUGCGGUCCACCCAGCCCAACGUGAGUCAAUCUUUGUUCGCCUGUAUGGACACCUGUACCCCCACCUUUGUGGGCAGUGGUACUAGGAGGGCCUUGAGAGCUGUAGCCCUAAAAAGUUCAUCCUAGCCCCCCGUCCCGGUGCUGCCGCCCGCCCGCAGAGACACGGCACAUCUGCCUGGCUGCACGGGACAGCCGGGCUGCAGCUCCCUGCAGUACAAAAGGCUUGAGGAAAAUGAAACCAAGGUGCCAAACUCAGUGCUCCUUUUGACCAGCAUACUGAACACUAAGUUAAUUCCUAAAUAUAUGUUAUCGGCACUUCAGGAACAACUCGUUCUGUUCUCUCCUUUGAUCUGGGGGAUCGUAACAGGUUCCUGCCAGUGUCCCGUCCUGUGUGACACACAUUCAAGGUCCUGCUGUUGGGAGCCACCACUUCUUGUAAACCGAGGCACUGCUCUCAGUGCCUCCCUUCUGCUCUGGUACCCACUUUGUGCUUCAACCAACUGGUCAUUUUAAAAGUUUAGUCCAAUGACUCGUCCCAUAAAUUUCAAUAAUACCUCCCCUGCAUCUCCUUUUCUACAGCCUAACCACUCUCAGUUGUUUAACCUUUUCCCAACGGCUUGAAUUUCAACUGCUACAGUAGGUUGGGGCAGAUGGUUGUCUGACUCCAUUGUCUCAUUACUUGAGACCUGCAAGCAAACUUCAGGAUCCCAUCCCGACUUGAAGUUACUACUUAUGAGCUUAUGUAAGGAAUCAGCCUCUUCCAAGGAAAGCUCUUCCUUGGCACUCCCCAGAAAGUUUUGUUUGGUCUCUAACCUGAUGGACCCCUACAGCCAACCCUGGCAUGGGUUUCCAAGCGGUGUUGAGACCCUGCCUCCUUGUUGGCCUUUGUGCGUUAGACAGCCUGUCUGCUCCCACAGCUGUGACUGUGUGACCCACACUCCUAGAGACCAGGUAACCCCUGCUGCCCUUUCUGAACCGUUUUCAUGCAUACACAGAUACCUAUGAGCCAAUUCCCAAAAAGCAAACCUUUAAAUGCCAUUUUCUAAGCCAACAGGGGAGAGGGAGGAGUGCCAUGUCCCAGCCAGCACAGCAGACUGCUUCCCUUCAGUUUUUCUUGUGCCGUUGCCAUUCCCUUGUUCUCCCUGGGACUCUUGCUUUCCUCCUCCUGCUCCCUCCAUGCCUCUUCAGUGACCUUCAGGUGCAGUGUGCCACAUCGGCAACAAAACUGUUAAAAGACUGUAAUAUCAACUCACCCUGCUCUCCUAGGUAUCCCACUUAUGAACCUAUCUAUAGCAAAGGGUACUCACAUUGAGCCCCUCAAAAUCUCCCCCACCAGGAUGCUAGAUCCUUUUGAGGGAGCCGGGGGUACCACACCUAUCAGCACCGUUAGGUGGGCAAAUCUGAUUCGCAAGAUGCACCCAGAGAUUUCCAACAGAAAUCCAGAGUUGUGGUCUUUUUGAGUUCUUUGCAACAGAAAACUGCUGUGUUGUUUUUCAGUAGUUAAAAAAGAGUAAAAAUGAAGAGCUGAUGUUUUCUUAGGGGUUCCUCCAAUCGAUCCAGGUUGAGAACCACUGCACUAGCUAUAUCCAGUUCAAUUAGUUACCUCUAUAGUGAACAUUUCUACCACUGCUGGAGCAGGGUCUGGGCUAGAUGGACCAUUGGUCUGACCCAGUACGGCACAUUUUUUGUUCUUAUGCCCCUUUCAAGUGCCUGAUUUGGGAGCUACUUAAUUACUUCCAGUAUGUUUAUUUUUUGGUUGCUAAUGGCAAGCCCCUUCCCCAUUUUGUAUGCACACCUCAGCUCCCUACUCUUGCCCCCCAAACUUCCUCCCCUCCCGAGUACUGCAUGCAUGUGAUGUCAAUGUGUUAAUGCAUGAGGGAAUGUAAUCAUGAACUACCAGGGCAGAGGAAGAUCUUAUGUGAAGAGAAAUGGUAUAACAAAUAAAGUGAACAAAUGAAAAUACA